rnacentral:rRNA from 1 species
CGGAUUAUUGGGCGUAAGCGCGCGUAGGCGGUUUUUUAAGUCUGAUGUGAAAGCCCACGGCUCAACCGUGGAGGGUCAUUGGAAACUGGAAAACUUGAGUGCAGAAGAGGAAAGUGGAAUUCCAUGUGUAGCGGUGAAAUGCGCAGAGAUAUGGAGGAACACCAGUGGCGAAGGCGACUUUCUGGUCUGUAACUGACGCUGAUGUGCGAAAGCGUGGGGAUCAAACAGGAUUAGAUACCCCAGUAG